CUAGAACAGAUCGUAUCAGGUGCCUGCAAUCUUGCGGGAGAAUCGGGAAGCCGGCGCAAAUCCGGCACGUGCCCAACGCUGUAAGGCGGAUGCACACGCAAGGGGGAGACCCGGCCACUGGUGAACAAGACCGGGAAGGCGGCGUGUGCAGAUGAAGCCAAGUCAGAAGACCGGCCUGAUGAGAUAGACUUGC
rnacentral:ncRNA from 2 species